rnacentral:rRNA from 1 species
AUUAGAGUUUGAUUAUGGCUCAGGAUGAACGUUGGCGGUGUGCCUAAUACAUGCAAGUCGAACGGAGUUAGUAGCAAUACUGGCUCAGUGGCGAACGGGUGAGUAACGCGUUGGUGAUCUGCCUUGAAGUGUGGAAUAACGUUUCGAAAGAGACGCUAAUACCGCAUGUGCUCUCGAUUUUCAGAAAGUUGAGAGUAAAGGAUUUAUUCGCUUCAAGAGGAGCCUGCGUCCCAUCAGCUGGUUGGUAGGGUAACGGCCUACCAAGGCUAUGACGGGUAGGGGACCUGAGAGGGUGGCCCCCCACAAUGGAACUGAAACACGGUCCAUACACCUACGGGUGGCAGCAGUAGGGAAUAUUAGAAAUGGACGAAAGUCUGAUCUAGCAACACCGCGUGUGCGAAGAAGGCCUUCGGGUCGUAAAGCACUUUUUGGAAGGAAUAGGAAGGAAUGUACUUCCAGAAUAAGUCUCGGCUAACUACGUGCCAGCAGCCGCGGUAACACGUAGGAGGCAAACGUUAUCCGGAUUUACUGGGCGUAAAGCGCGUGUAGGUGGUACUGUAAGUAGGGCGUGAAAGCUCCUGGCUCAACUGGGAGAGGCCGUUCUAAACUACAGAACUAGAGGAUGGUAGAGGGGAGGUGGAAUUCCAGGUGUAGCGGUGGAAUGCGCAGAUAUCUGGAGGAACACCGGUGGCGAAGGCGGCCUCCUGGACCAUUCCUGACACUCAGACGCGAAAGCUAGGGUAGCAAACGGGAUUAGAGACCCCGGUAGUCCUAGCCCUAAACGAUGUAGACUAGGCGUCGGAAGUUUAAUCACUUUCGGUGUCCAAGCUAACGCGAUAAGUCUACCGCCUGGGGACUACGGCCGCAAGGUUAAAACUCAAAGGAAUUGACGGGUCCCCGCACAAGCAGCGGAGCGUGUGGUUUAAUUCGUUGCUACACGAAGAACCUUACCUGGGUUUGACAUAGCAGUGGUAGGGAAGCGAAAGCGGACCGACCCUUCGGGGAGCUGUUACAGGUGUUGCAUGGCUGUCGUCAGCUCGUGUCGUGAGAUGUUCGGUUAAGUCCGCUAACGAGCGCAACCCGCGUUGUGUGUUACAAGUGUCACACAAUACCGCCGGUAUUAAGUCGGAGGAAGGUGCGGAUGACGUCAAGUCAGCAUGACCUUUAUAUCCAGGGCUACACACACGCUACAAUGGUCGGCACAAUAGGUUGCCAAGUCGCGAGACGGAGCCAAUCCUCCAAAGCCGACCUCAGUUCAGAUUGCAGGCUGCAACUCGCCUGCAUGAAGUUGGAGUUGCUAGUAAACGCAGGUCAGCUAUACUGCGUUGAAUACGUUCCCGGGGAUUGUACACACCGCCCGUCAAGUCAUGGGAGCUGGCAACACCUGAAGCCGGUAUCCUAACCCGCAAGGGAGGGAGCUGUCAAAGGUGGGGUCGGUGACUGGGACUAAGUCGUAACAAGGUAGGUGUACCGGAAGGUGCGCCUGGAUCACCUCCUUUAUGAAU